UUGUGAGGCAAGGAAGUGUGUUACAGGUCCCACAGCUGUGUAGGAGACAAGAGUCUGUUACGCUCGCAAGGCAGGUCUUAAUUACUAACUGCAAAUUGUUGUUUGGUGUUAAAGUGCUGGGAGAAGAUAAAUGAAAGCAGAGAAAACAUUCGGUGGCUGCUGAAAAAGGCCUACUACACCCAGACACGAGGAGAUGUCUCAUUAAUUAUUUGCUUUCAUCCCCUUUGGGCUCAAAAGACAGCAGCAAUAACAUUACUUUUGUUUGCAGCUAUGUGUUCUUCUUUGACUGAGUGCCUCAAAGACAGCAGCGGAAAUAAGGACUGCUAAGAACACAGUGAUCCUUCCUACAUUACUGAGCCAUUCAGGAUUACAGCUGUUAAACGCAAGCACAAGCAGGAAGGCUUUUACUCUAUGGUAAGGACCACGAGAAUGGCUCCAAAAGUGUUGAUUCUUGUUGCAUUUCAUUCUGCUGAAAGAGGCUGCUAUGCAUCUUGCAUUAGCUCUAAACUCGAAUUGAGACCCACUUCCACCUGAGUUUUUGGUUUCAUGCUGGAGAGGGUUGCUUAAGAGCAACCCCUUCCCCUUGUCAUUGGUUUUUAAUCUCACCAGAUGUGUUAUGGGUUAUUUCUGUAGUUUACCAAAGCAACUUCAAAUGCUAGUUCUUCAGAGUGUUUGAAACCUUUUUCUCUUUUGCAAGGUGCAGAAAUAUACUUCUAUUCCAUCAGUUAAAUCAUAAAUUAAACUAUUAAAAUAUUAAAUAGAAUCAAAAAGCUAGACUGGAUUCCUGAAAUGACCUUUCAGUUUAAGAACAAACCAUUAAUAAUUACUUUGAGACUUGUCUUCCACCCUGUGCAGUGUCUAAAGCCUUAAUGAAACCAGCGUAUGUCACACCUAUUGCUUCCCCCUUAUCCCUUAAGCUAGCUAGACAAGCUGCCAAGAAAUGAAAUUAGAUUGGUUUGGCAGAACUUACUCUUUUCUUAUCCAUAUCAACAGAAGCAUAGUAGUCCAAGUAUGUACAACAAAACAUUGUGAAUAUAACAAAAUGCUCAUAGUAAGAAGCUCUGAGAACUAAAUCAUUUUACGUUUUGUUUUGCUGCAUUUUUUCCUCUGACAGAGUUGAACAGUGGCAAGACAGCCUUCUCAAAGCUUUCUAUAUUGGGUACAGCACACUGCUUCCUUACAGCCCGGGCGAUGACUUCUCAGUGCAGCAGGAUAGAUAAUUUUAGCCCAGGAGUACUCUCAGGAUUACAGAUGCAUUUUACAAUUUUGUUGCUUCCAGCAAUUACAGUUUCCAUAUUAGCCUCUUUCUACAUAUCAGCCAGAGCAGGUUGCAGAGCAAAAGAAAAAGGAAAGUGAGGCUCAAAUAAGUUAUUUCAAAAAACAUUUGUGAUGCAGCCAGGAAAAAAACACAGUAGCACUCUGCCUCAUGAAUUCUGUAUCUGUGAGUUGUGCCAGGCAAGAAGUGAGACUCAGUAUGUUUUUAUACUUUGCAUUGUCAAAAGUAAUUGAAAAUUAAUAUAAGUAAUAUUUUUAUCUCUGCAUGAUAGCAAGGGGUUUUAGAUAUGGUGUUUUGUAUUCAAAUGGGAUUUUAAUGUAGUAUCAGAAAGAUUGUGAUAAAGAGCUUUACAAAUCUCCUAGUAUAUUAAGUGUAGGUGUUCCUAGAAGUUAGAAAAACUUGAAAAGCAAGUUAAGGUCAGUUUAAUUUAGCUACUUUUCCUGAGGUAAAAGAGCAUCUGAAUUAAAUAUAAUGACCCGCCUCUUCCACAAACAGUUUUGUGAGGCAGGAUUCUCCCAGAGCUCCAAAAACAGCCUUAUGGGAUUUCCUUGCUGGAUGAGUCUAGUGUGGAGGUUGUAUGAGCAAAUGCCUUAGAGGAAGGUAGAUCAGCAUCACUGCUUAAGAAGAUUAAUUCUUUAAAAGCUACUUAUGGGAGAGGUGAUCUUUUAUGUGUGAACCAAAAGCAAUUAAUUAAAAUGGGUCAAUUAGCCUCUCAAAUACAACAUGCAUUCAGAGUUCUGGUUUUUAUGUAUUCACACAUGAAACUGUAAAAUAAAAGUAGGGGGGAAACCUAUGUGACUCAUACAGGGCAGAAUGAAGAAGUAAAUAUAGCCUUCACCUUCUGUUAGUCCCAUGCUCAGGAACGUGUAUAUUCUGACAUGUUGGGUUCUGUCAAGGGUGCACGUCACAGCAGCAGUCUGCAUCUGUGCCAUCCUCGAGUGUAGCAGAGCUGCAACAAACUGUGGAGACAGAAAAAUGUGCAACCCAACACUGAAAUAAAACCAUUUUUUUUAAGUGGAAGAGUCAAACUGCAACUGUGUGAGUGGGAAUUGUAAGGAACUCAACUCUUUUUGGUCUUCCAAAUAAAUACAGUGGCAUC
ensembl:lncRNA